rnacentral:rRNA from 1 species
UGGUUUACCACUUAGUGGCGCAAGGGUGAGUAACACGUGGGUAAUCUACCUUCGAGUCUGGAAUAACAGUUAGAAAUGAUUGCUAAUGCCGGAUGAAAUUGGGAACGAAAUUUCAUUCUUUAUUAAAAGGAGCCUUUAAAGCUUCGCUUGAAGAUGAGCCUGCGACGUAUUAGCUAGUUGGUGGGGUAAAGGCCUACCAAGGCAACGAUGCGUUGCCGACCUGAGAGGGUGAUCGGCCACACUGGGACUGAGACACGGCCCAGACUCCUACGGGAGACAGCAGUUAGGAAUAUUCGUCAAUGGGGGAAACCCUGAACGAGCAAUGCCGCGUGAAGGAUGACGGUCCUAUGGAUUGUAAACUUCUGUUGUUAGGGAAGAACGACUAGUGUAGGAAAUGACACUAGAGUGACGGUACCUUUCAAGAAAGCUCCGGCUAACUACGUGCCCAGCAGCCGCGGUAAUACGUAGGGAGCGAGCGUUAUCCGGAUUUAUUGGGUGUAAAGGGUGCGUAGGCGGCUUUACAGGUCUGUGGUUUAAGCCCGAAGCUUAACUUCGGUUCGCCAUAGAAACCGUUUAGCUUGAGUAUGGUAGAGGCAAGUGGAAUUUCUAGUGUAGCGGUUAAAUGCGUAGAUAUUAGAAGGAACACCAGUGGCGAAGGCGACUUGCUGGGCCAUUACUGACGCUGAGGCACGAAAGCGUGGGGAGCAAAUAGGAUUAGAUACCCUAGUAGUCCACGCCGUAAAGGAUGGGAUACUAAGUGUCCGGAGUUUUCCGGUGCUGAAGUUAACACAUUAAGUAUCCCACCUGAGUAGUACGGUCGCAAAGGCUGAAACUCAAAGGAAUUGACGGGCACCCGCACAAGCGGUGGAGCAUGCUGUUUAAUUCGAAGAUACGCGAAGAACCUUACCUGGGCUUGACAUCCCACUGACCGUCUUAGAGAUAAGAUUUUCCCUUCGGGGACAGUGGUGACAGGUGGUGCAUGGUUGUCGUCAGCUCGUGUCGUGAGAUGUUCGGUUAAGUCCGAUAACGAGCGCAACCCCUAUCUUUAAUUGCUAACAUUAAGUUGAGAACCUUAAAGAUACUGCCGGUGACAAACCGGAGGAAGGUGGGGAUGACGUCAAAUCAUCAUGCCCCUUACGUCCAGGGCUACAGGCGUGCUACAAUGGCUGGUAUAAAAAGAUGCAAUGUCGCGAGACGGAGCAAAUCUCCAAAGCUAGUCCCAGUCCGGAUUGGAGUCUGCAACUCGACUCCAUGAAGUUGGAAUCGCUAGUAAUCCCGAAUCAGAAUGUCGGGGUGAAUACGUUCCCGGGUGUUGUACUCACCGCCCGUCA